UCUGUUGUUAGAGAAGAACGUUAAGUAGAGUGGAAAAUUACUUAAGUGACGGUAUCUAACCAGAAAGGGACGGCUAACUACGUGCCAGCAGCCGCGGUAAA
rnacentral:rRNA from 1 species